rnacentral:rRNA from 1 species
AUGCCGGGGCCGGCGUCCACCCCUCGACCUCUUCCUGCUACAUCAAGAUCUGGCUCGGGAAGAUGGCCUGCCAGACCACUGCCACCCCGCUCGUCCUGUUCGACGCUGCCCACAGGCAGCUCCUACGGCGGCCACGCGGUUCACCCACGUCGAGAUCCCCAUCACCGGACCGACCGACGACGCGCCAGCGCGGUCCCUGCUCACGCCCAAGGAGGAGCACCUAGAGUCCAGCGCGCCGCGGAGCACGCCUUCACGAAAUGCCUGAGUGACCUCGUGAGCAUGGUGAUGCAGGAGGUGCACUUGGAGCUCACCUUCUCGAUGGGGGAGAUCAUGACGGUGUACUCUUGUGGGCCCGGGCAGCAGGCCGUAGCCCUCGUGGGCGGCGUCGGCGGCAACGACGGGUCCUCCUGA